AGGUUCAACACUUUGUACUAUCAGGUUUUCUACUAUUUUUAGAAAAGAGAAGUUUAUGUUUAAGUUUGCUUUUUUUUUAUUGCAAUUACUUGGUAACAUGACCAGAGAACAGUAAUCACUUUAAUCACUUCUGCUUUUAAAAUAGAAUUAAAUAAAUAAUUUGUCUGUCAAUAAGUUUUCCGGUAACACUAACAGUUGUCCCUGUGCUAAAAGAGAACCAAGCUGUAGUGUGGAAGCUGUAUGCUGUAUGGGGAGCUGCUGCUGCACUUGUUCCUGCUUCUCUCUCUUCUUAUCGCCGUCCUGUGUGUUAAGAGGAAGAAAAGAGCAGAAAGAGACAUUCAGCUACUGAGAGAACUUUUCACUUCGUGUUUUAAUCUUCUUAAAGUUCCUAUAAAUCUGUUAAUAAAUAAAAAUUAAAGAGGUUUUCUCUUCAAUUCUCUCAGUGUGUUCCAACGCCUGGAGAUGACACAUACACAGCGCUGAACCUCAUGACUGUGUCCCCAGAAUAUGACACACUGCAAAAUAUUAAAAGCUCUGCCAGUGACACUUACACCACCCUGAACCCUGCACCCAUGUGCUCUGAUUAUGAUACACUGAGGAAGUGAAACAACCUGCAACCACAGUCUCUGGGAGUAAGUGUGUACUCUAUAAGUGUGUGUUUGUGCAAAAGGAUGUUUGUUUAAGGACUGAAGUUGCAAAAAGAAUUUCUGUCUCAUGUAAGAGUCAUUCAUUUGUGUCCGUUCACUCGGUUCUGUAAUGUUGACUAAAAUUGUUGUUAAUGUCUUUGUAUUUAGUUAUUUAAACAUUUUAAAACUUUGAUGUCAUUUGUUAUUUUUAUGUCUUGUAAACUAGAACAAAAUGAUGAUAAAGUAAGGAAUACACACCUCCCUGUACAGAAAUUCUUGUUUGCCCGAUGCGUUACUGUCCAGUGUUUAAAAUGUUUCUAUGUACAAGAAUAAAAUUGAUCUUAUGGGCGUUUUGGCAGGACAGAAUGAUGUACACAUUUGAAAUGAUAACUGUGUUUUUAUACAGCAGCAUCUUAAAAUGUUGUAAGUCCACGUCUCACGCAUCCACUGAUUUUGAGAACAAACUGGCUUGCAUUUCAGACAUUAUUGAGUGGGAUGUGUGUGGAAAGGUUCUGUUGCAGUGUAGUAUGAUGGGGAGGGGUGCAGACGACACAAGAGGUCCCUGUUCCCCUACCGUUUCGGGGAUAUUUCCUUCAGACGUUUCUCUUUGAAGCAGAAACUUCGCCUUCAACAAGGUGACAGUAGCUGAUAGUCAAUGUGUCUGUGCAUCUGUGCACCAAAUUUGCACUCUCCUGACCCUAUUUUGUAGUUAUUAAAGAUUAAAGGUUAUAACAUAUGAUGCAGGACAAUCGGUCAAAAAAGGACACAACCAAAUUGUUGGUCUCAAAAAACAAUUGGACACUAAGGUGUAAGAAACUACAGAGUGCCUCAACCCAGAUUUCACUCCACAGUACACAUCUGAAAGAGCUCAUUCCAAAAAAGGCUUACAUAUCAUAUAGAAAUAUCUUUAAUUCAAAUCAAUUUAUCUUUAUGGUAUUUUUUACAUUGGCUUAAAGCAGCCUUACCAAACAUUUAGAACUUUAAUUAAUUAUUAGUUUGGGAGCGGCAGCAAGGCAUCAGGAACCAUCCCUGAACAAAGGGUAUACAUGACUGUGAUUACUAUUUAGUAUUGUCCGACCAUUUGGGUGAUAACACCUAGAACAAUACCUAGCCAAGGUAUACGUGACCGUGAUUACCAUUGAAGGACAUCCAGCUAGACGACAGUAUCAUCCAGCCAUUUGGGGAAUACUCAGUUCUUACACUAAUUUACAUUUAAAGUGAAACUCAUUUAAAUUACACACAGGAAACACUGUAUAAAAGGUUUGAGCAGGAUUUG